CCCGGAAUGUAGACUGGAAUAGAACCUGUACAGAUCCAGCACCCCAAUAUGGCGGCGACGACUGCCGCAAACCACGUCAAGCAAUAGGUUGCCAUACUGUCUGCGCAAGACGCAGCCCUUAACAAGGAAGAAGACAUCCGCAGGAGUGAAUUCCACCAGUACCACAAUGUUCACCGUAUUUCAAUGUCAAGAAAUAGACACUCUGUUGGCCUCACGUGUAGUUGACCUGGGACUCUUGUCAACGAUCUCUGUGAUAUUAUCUUGUUGGUUUGCCAAUCUGUCAUCCGUAAUUUAGCUCACCAUUAUGCUACAAUGGUAUGGGAAUUUAUGUUUAAUAUUAAAAACUGGGACAAAAUGGAUAAAUUCCAACAUGUAAUAACGUGUUCAUCUGAUAUUGUAUAUAUAGGAGUUUAGAUGAGAUUUGAGUUCUUGGGUACAUUAAUAUCUUGUUUAUAGAGAAGUCACCGCCGUGAUAUUGCUGGAAUAUUGAUACAAGCGGCGUAAAAAGCAAACUCACUCACUCACUAUAGAGAAGUCAGCUGUGGUCGAGAUAUAAAUAUGGCCUUUGGGAACCUUAACGCUGUCUCUUCUAUUCUCGUUGAUGGGGAUUAGUUUAAGCUGUAUGGUUCCGUCUAAAUAUUAUGCAGUGAUGCAGUUUCGUUGAAGACGAAAUGAUUAACUUUAAGGUUUCACCCAAAAAUUUGAAUCACUUUACCCCAUGUGUAUAUAUCUAGUACUGUUGUGCCUGAACUUGUCGUGUUAUGCAUUAUUGGUAUUAUUGUGUAUAAUCCAAUACGACACAUAUUUUUAAGUUAUAUACAUCAUAUCUGACCUCAUGGGCAGUUGAUACAGAGACUGAGUAAGAAACAAUGCUUACAUGACAGUAAACCUUGUCAACGUUCAUUGUUUCUCUUUCCCUAUUGAUGCCGGGGUCUGCCAUCCAUAUUUUAGAUAACUGUUAUGUCAAAUUAACUGAUGGUGUUUAGAAAAAUAAUUCCUUUGAAACAUUCUGUUCACACCGAAAACAUAACAAAUGCGUAACAGACCUAGAGUUCAAUGGAACUUUAUUGAAAACGUUUCUUGAAAGUAGGUCCCACAUGCACUAUUUACUUGACAUCAUACCAUAGUAUGUAUAUGAAUACAUCUUUAGUAAACGAUGAGUAUGUGUAAGUGUAAUGUGUAAUACAUUGUUCUUUGUCGUCCAAUAAACUAUGUCUCCGUGU